CCUACGGGAGGCAGCAGUGAGGAAUAUUGGGCAAUGGACGAGAGUCUGAACCAGCCAAGUAGCGUGAAGGAUGACUGCCCUAUGGGUUGUAAACUUCUUUUAUAAAGGAAUAAAACGAGGCACGUGUGCCUUUUUGCAUGUACUUUAUGAAUAAGGAUCGGCUAACUCCGUGCCAGCAGCCGCGGUAAUACGGAGGAUCCGAGCGUUAUCCGGAUUUAUUGGGUUUAAAGGGAGCGUAGAUGGGUUGUUAAGUCAGUUGUGAAAGUUUGCGGCUCAACCGUAAAAUUGCAAUUGAUACUGGUAGUCUUGAGUACAGUUGAGGUAGGCGGAAUUCGUGGUGUAGCGGUGAAAUGCGUAGAUAUCACGAAGAACCCCGAUUGCGAAGGCAGCUUACUAAACUGUGACUGACAUUGAUGCUCGAAAGUGUGGGUAUCAAACAGGAUUAGAUACCCUAGUAGUC
rnacentral:rRNA from 1 species